rnacentral:rRNA from 2 species
UGGGGAAUAUUGCACAAUGGGGGAAACCCUGAUGCAGCGACGCCGCGUGGAGGAAGAAGGUCUUCGGAUUGUAAACUCCUGUUGUUGAGGAAGAUAAUGACGGUACUCAACAAGGAAGUGACGGCUAACUACGUGCCAGCAGCCGCGGUAAAACGUAGGUCACAAGCGUUGUCCGGAAUUACUGGGUGUAAAGGGAGCGCAGGCGGGAGAACAAGUUGGAAGUGAAAUCCAUGGGCUCAACCCAUGAACUGCUUUCAAAACUGUUUUUCUUGAGUAGUGCAGAGGUAGGCGGAAUUCCCGGUGUAGCGGUGGAAUGCGUAGAUAUCGGGAGGAACACCAGUGGCGAAGGCGGCCUACUGGGCACCAACUGACGCUGAGGCUCGAAAGUGUGGGUAGCAAACA